AUACGAAUGGUGCAAGCGUUGUUCGGAAUCACUGGGCAUAAAGCGCACGUAGGCGGUGGCAUCAGUCCGAUGUGAAAUCCCUCGGCUCAACCGAGGAACUGCAUCGGAUACUGUGCUGCUAGAGGACGGGAGGGGAGAACGGAAUUCCUGGUGGAGCGGUGAAAUGCGUAGAUAUCAGGAGGAACGCCGGAGGCGAAAGCGGUUCUCUGGCCCGUUACUGACGCUGAGGUGCGAAAGCUAGGGGAGCAAACAGGAUUAGAAACCCCGGUAGUCC
rnacentral:rRNA from 1 species